GCGGUUGUAGCACAAUGGUAGUGCGUGCGACUGUGGCUCGCGAGACGAGGGUUCGAUUCCCUCCUACCGCC
rnacentral:tRNA from 1 species